UGAUGAUGAUGAUGAGUCACUAAUUAAUUGUAUCAUAGAGUCUUGCAUGGAAAAAUAGAAAAUGAGAUUGAGCCAAGGAUGACUUGCCGAUUUUCUCAACGAAUCUUACUGAUUAUGGUAUCCGGCAAGUUGACUUUGGCUCUGUUUCCUUCCCUUCUUUUCGAUGUCAAACUCUAGAUACCUAACCACAUAUCAUAUAUAUCAUCAUCAUUCAUCA